UUAUUUUCUCUCCUUUUCAGACAAUUUACCAUAUUAACAAAUUAUCACUGUUAACAUUUAACACGUUUUCCCAUGAUGGUUAAUUACAAAUCUAAAUGCAAAUUAAGACAGAGAAAAAAAAACAAACCCAUUAGAUAAAAGUGUCCCAAUGACCAUGACCAAUUUUUUUCUUUUCCAAUAUUUUCCAUGAUUUUUGUUAAUCACGAUUAAGUGGAAACGUUUAGCGAAGUUACUGUUAAACGACUGCUAAUGAUUUACGCCUCGAUACAAUCUAAUUAACCUUCAACUGAAUCAAAUUUAAUUCUCCUUGAAAGAAUUAGAAUCAUCAGAGGAUCAAUGUUUUCCUUCAAUGGCGAUCAUUUCCCGAAAAGAGAAUCUGUCUCAUCAUGUAUAAGUGAAAUUCAACAAUAAUUUACAUGAUAUUUGGAGAAUUCAAAUUGUGAAAAAUAAUUACAAAAUCAAUGGUGUAUUUAAAUAAGCAAAAUGGUGUUUAUUUGCAAUUUACUUCAUUACAUCUCGUUUGAUUGGUUAUCAACUUCAGGAAAAUGAGCUGAUUUCAUCUAAAAGGAAACAAGAAGAAUGAAAAGAAAAGGUAAACAAAUUAAGAAUCUCAUGUUUAAAUUGUUCAGAAAAUUUACUUACUUUAAUUAUUAUUUGAAUCCAUAGUCUUCUUUGGCUGUUGAGUUUAUGGCUUUAAUUGUCAACGAGUAAUUAGCUAUUUGAAGAGAUUCGACUAUUUGAAUUGUUGAUCAUUUUGUACAAACCAAUAUACAUAAAUGUUAACAUGAAAUCAAGAAAGAUGAGGAACAUGUUGCGUUGAAAGAAAUCAAGAAUCAUACCAAAGUGGAUCAUCGUCGAUUCUUGUAAAUUAGAAUCACUUCCGAUUAUGAACAAAAACAAAACAAAAGUAAUAACACAAAUUUGAUGACACUUAGAAAUUUGGAAUAACAAUGGGAGAAUGAUUAAUGUCAGUAAUUAAUCUUGAAGCGAAGAAAGAAACAAAGAAGUGAGAAAAAAUUCCAAAAAGCUUCAGAGAAAAUGGAAUUCAUAUUAAAGAUGAAAUAAUACACAGAAUAUAAGAAAAAGGAGCCAAAUCGAGUCAAUGGAGAACAAUUUAGUUUACUGAAUGAAGAAAACGAUGAAAUGAAACGAUUGAGUUGAAGGAACCAACGGUAAAAGUGGAUCACUGAAAAUGUAAGGAACUGUAAUCACUUUUUGAUAAGUUGGAUAAUCUCAAGUGAGUUAAGGUGAGUUAAAGAUAAUCUCUCGAGGACAUCGUUAAGGUUGAAUCUGAUUUUCCAAUUCUUACUAUCAGAGAAUCGUUUACCUCCAUGAUGUAAUUUGGUUAAUUGAGAUUUUCUUAUACUUAAUGAACCCACAAAAAAAUCUGUAAGAGAAAUAAAAUAAAAAACUAUUAACAAGGAUACAAAAUAUUUCCUAUUACAAUCAUAACAUUAUCAACGUUUCAAUGGAUGGUUAUUUGAUUUCUCAAAUAUUAUCAUGUAAAUGUCUUGAGGCAACAAAUUAUCAAAUUUUUUCUUCUGUAAAGAUAAAAAUAAAUUCAACUAAUCACCUGAAAAUUUCACAUUCAAUGUCACUUUCUCUUAAAAUGAAAAAUUUGCAAGUCUCAUAAACGAUAAUCAUUAAAAUCUCUUCCGAGUUUUCUUACCUUGAUCUCAUUAGGAAAUUGAUUUGAUUAGGAGAUUUCAAUUGUUCCAUUGGAGCAAAAGAGAUGGAAUCAAAAAGAUCAACCAGAUAGAAGAUAAAUCAAAUUGAAUUAGUUUCAUUCUCAAUUGUAAACAUAAAAGUUUCGUUUCUGUGGGAAUAUAGAGUAAGUAUUGACGAUAAUUCAGGCCAAAGAAUAAUAAACAAAUCGAGAGAGAGACACGAAUAUAUUUGAAUAUUUCAUGGUUCCAUUAAUAAAUGUAUCUAAAUAUUUAGGAGAAAAAUUUUUACUUACUUGAUUAUCCAAGAAAAUAAUUCAUUUCCAUUGAAUAAAUAGAUGAAAGUUAAUCACCCAAAACAGUUUCCAUGUCACAUAGCGACAAAGUCACUCGAUUCCAAGUGAAUAGAAACAAACAUGAUGAGAGAGUAAAGGAAAGAAAAUGAUGAGAAUUGAGAAAGUAAAAACAUUUCUAAGAUUAUCCAUUAAACACUAAUAAAAACAACAAUUAAACCCAAAUGUUUACACUAAAUAAAAAUCGGAAAUGAACAUGGAACCAUUUUCAUUGCAAUUGGAAUCACUGAAUUGAUUAGACUUCAUUUUUUUCACUGACAAAAUUUUUACAGAGGAAAAUUGAACUCACCCAAUUACAAAUGAGACUUUCUCAUUACGAGAUUUAUUUAUAAAUCGAGUCUAUUUUUAACUCUAUUUCAUGGUAAACACUGAGAAAAGAACAAAUUUCAUAGACAAAAUUAAAGAAGAGAAAUAUUUUCUUGCCAAGAAAUGAAAAGAGAAACUAAAACCAAGAUGGCGAAGUGAAGAAAAAGAGAAGAGAACAAAAAAUGAAGAUAGAAAAGAACAAAAUGUUUUCUCUUUUCUCUGUUCACUUUGUCUCUUGUUCUUCAUUGUCACAGUUCAACAUUCAAAUUAAUUCUUUCAAUUAAAUUUAAAUUUUUCUUCUUUUUAAAUUAACUAAUCAAUUUUUCUUCUUCAUCUCAAUUAAUCUGAUUGAUCCGAGUGUUUCUUUUUUCUGAAUCUAUUACAAGAUUAUAUGGAUUAAACUACUUGUUGAAUGUUCUUCUUCUUGUAAUUAAUUACAUUUUUUGUUCUGUUUGUUGGUCAUGUUGAUUGUUCUUUAUUGUUAAUUGUGUUAUUUGAUUUAAUCACAAUCAUGGAUUGUUAUACUUGUAUUAAGUGGUCAGUUGUUUCUCUCCUAAUUUCCAGUUCAAUUGUUUAUUUAAUCGCUUAUGGAUUAGCUGUUCCGUUGGUUGAAACUCAUCUUAUUGAGUUUCAUAUGUUUUACCUGUUAACCCUUUUUACUAAUUUUUUUGGUAUUUAUGGUACAAUUAAGGAAAGAUAUUGUUACCUUUUCUGUGUAAUCUUUAAUCUAAUCUCUUUAUUCAUCAUGUCAAUCCUUGUAAAUCUACUUAAUCUUGGUUUGUCCAUUUUCUAUUGCCUUGUUAUAUCUGAUGUGAUACUUUUUGCUAUUUGUGUUAAAAACUGUAAUGAACCGGACUAUUGAUUAACCAAAUCAUUAAUAUUAAUCAUUCUUCAUCUUUAUCACAAUAAUCAUGAUCAUCAACUUGAAACAAUCAGUUAACUGUAUUAAUCAUCAUUGGUUUGCUUAAUCCUGAAUGAUUUCUUAAUCCAAAUAAGAAAAAAAAAUGAAAAGACGAAACAAUCAACUCCAUUGAAAAGUGAAUCGUUUAUUGUUUUAACAUGAGGGACAAACAAUUGCUCUCAUUGUUAUUAUCGGUGUUAAUUGUAAUUAAUUUCUUUCAUUUAAAAGAAAACCACAAUUAUGAUUCCACAUAAAAAUAUGUAUGGAUUUGUAUGUGCAUGGAAAAACAAAGUGUGUAUUUACCCAUUGAAUUAAAAGAUUGUUAAAAUUAA